rnacentral:rRNA from 1 species
CCCUUUCANNAAGUNUANUUNGNGGNGGGGGANAGCUCGGGGNAACUCGAAUUAAUUACCGCAUACGACCUACGGGAGAAAGGGGGUUUGUUUACUGCUCUCGCUAUUAGAUGAGCCUAAGUCGGAUUAGCUAGAUGGUGGGGUAAAGGCCUACCAUGGCGACGAUCUGUAGCUGGUCUGAGAGGAUGAUCAGCCACACCGGGACUGAGACACGGCCCGGACUCCUACGGGAGGCAGCAGUGGGGAAUAUUGGACAAUGGGGGCAACCCUGAUCCAGCCAUGCCGCGUGUGUGAAGAAGGCCUUUUGGUUGUAAAGCACUUUAAGCAGUGAAGAAGACUCCAUGGUUAAUACCCAUGGACGAUGACAUUAGCUGCAGAAUAAGCACCGGCUAACUCUGUGCCAGCAGCCGCGGUAAUACAGAGGGUGCAAGCGUUAAUCGGAAUUACUGGGCGUAAAGCGAGCGUAGGUGGCUUGAUAAGUCAGAUGUGAAAUCCCCGGGCUUAACCUGGGAACUGCAUCUGAUACUGUUAGGCUAGAAUAGGUGAGAGGAAGGUAGAAUUCCCGGUGUAACGGUGAAAUGCGUAGAGAUCUGGAGGAAUACCGAAUGGCGAAGGCAGCCUUCUGGCGUCAUAUUGACACUGAAGGUUCGAAAGCGUGGGUAGCAAAACAGGAUUAGAUACCCUGGGUAGUUCACGCCGUAAACGAUGUCUACUAGUCGUUGGGUCCCUUGAGGACUUAGUUGACGCAGCUAACGCAAUAAGUAGACCGCCUGGGGGAGUUCGGCCGCCAAGGUUUAAAACUCCAAUUGAUUUGUCUAGGGGGCCCCGCACAAGCGGUGGAGCAUGUGGUUUAAUUCGAUGCAACGCGAAGAACCUUACCUGGUCUUGACAUAUCUAGAAUCCUGCAGAGAUGCGGGAGUGCCUUCGGGAAUUAGAAUACAGGUGCUGCAUGGCUGUCGUCAGCUCGUGUCGUGAGAUGUUGGGUUAAGUCCCGCAACGAGCGCAACCCUUGUCCUUAGUUACCAGCGGGUUAAGCCGGGAACUCUAAGGAUACUGCCAGUGACAAACUGGAGGAAGGCGGGGACGACGUCAAGUCAUCAUGGCCCUUACGACCAGGGCUACACACGUGCUACAAUGGUAGGUACAGAGGGCAGCUACACAGCGAUGUGAUGCGAAUCUCAAAAAGCCUAUCGUAGUCCAGAUUGGAGUCUGCAACUCGACUCCAUGAAGUAGGAAUCGCUAGUAAUCGCGG